rnacentral:rRNA from 1 species
AUUGAACGCUGGCGGAACGCUUUACACAUGCAAGUCGAACGGUAACGUGGGGAGGAGCUUGCUCCACCCCGACGACGAGUGGCGAACGGGUGAGUAAUACAUCGGAACGUGUCCGCUUGUGGGGGACAACCAGCCGAAAGGUUGGCUAAUACCGCAUGAGUUUUACGGAAGAAAGAGGGGGACCCGCAAGGGCCUCUCGCGAGCGGAGCGGCCGAUGACUGAUUAGCCUGUUGGUGAGGUAACGGCUCACCAAAGCAACGAUCAGUAGCUGGUCUGAGAGGACGACCAGCCACACUGGGACUGAGACACGGCCCAGACUCCUACGGGAGGCAGCAGUGGGGAAUUUUGGACAAUGGGCGCAAGCCUGAUCCAGCUAUUCCGCGUGUGGGAUGAAGGCCCUCGGGUUGUAAACCACUUUUGUAGAGAACGAAAAGACAUCUUCGAAUAAAGGAUGUUGCUGACG